ensembl:lncRNA
UUUCACAUUAUUUAUCAUGAGUGCAGUGCGACUUAUUUUAUAGCUGAAGAGUUUGAGACCUGCUGAUGUUUCAUCAACAGGACUUUAUGUUCACUGUGUUUAUCUCCUCUGGGUGUUUAUCCACACCUCAGCACCUAGAUGGCGAUGUUACUUCAUUACCUAAGAGGAGAGAAACGCUCCCAGUUUUCCAUUUAGAUCUACAUCCCUGCCUUUACGCUUAUUCCAGUGUUGUAGUGAAGACCACCUCAGUCAAGCCCAAGGCAAGACUAGAAACAGACACUAAGAGAAUUAGGAGGUGUAGCAGGAGCCGGGAAUUCACAGUGAAAAGUGCGGGACAGCAGGAAAACGCCCAGCUGGGGAGCCUCUAUAAAUUCUCUGAUGACUCUGCCAUUGUUGGCUACAUCUCAAAUGACGAUGAAAGGGAAUACAGAGAGGUUACAAGGGAUUUUGUGGACUGGUGCCAGCAAAACUACCUCCAGAUCAACACGGUUAAAACCAAAGAACUGGUGGGGGAUUUCCGCAGGACUAAGUUCUCCUCACCCACUCCAGUGAACAUCCAGGGAAGGGACAUUGAAAUUGUCAAGACCUACAAGUACCUGGGUGUUCAUCUAAACAACAAACUGGACUGGUCUGACAACACACACCCUGUAUAAGAAAGGCCAGAGCAGACUCCACCUGCUGAGGAGGCUCCGGUCCUCUGGAAUACAGGGUGGACUUUUCCACUCUUUGUAUGACUCUAUGGUGGCAUCAGCCAUCUUCUAUGGCAUUUUCUGCUGGGGAGGUGGCAUUACUGCAGCAGACAGGAAGAAACUGGACAAGCUUAUCAGGAAGGCUGUCCUGGGCUGUGCGCUGGACCCAGUGGGGGAGGUGGGGGAGAGGAGGAUGUUGGCCAAGCUUGCAUCCAUAAUGGACAAACCCUCUCACCCACUACAGGAGGCAGCUGCAGCACUGGGCAGCUCCUUCAGUGACCGGCUCCUCCACAUGCGAUGCGGAAAAGAGAGAUGCCGCAGCUCCUUUCUCCCCACGGCCGGUCGGCUCUACAACCAGAACCUCCCCAAGCAGAGACUCAGACACUCUCCAUCAUAAACACACUAUGGAUUCACACCUCACUCCAUCAUAGUGCACUCCAUCACGAACUCACCACAUAGACCUGGAUCUUAUCCUACCACUAAUUAAUGUGCAGUAUGUGCUGCUGAUGGAUUGGUACAAGUGCAAUACACACACUAGUUCUGUGUGAUAUCUCUAAUCAUUACUGUACAAUAUCUACAGUUUCUGUGUGAUAUCCAGUCAUUACCUGCUCAGAAUGUGCAAUAUCCAUACAGCUGCAUGUUUAAACUGUAAAUUUGUACAGUUUCUUAAUUCUAUUUUUAUUUUUUGUAUUUUUUUCUGCUAACAGACACCUUGUUUAUUUAUUUAUUUCUAUAGUAUAUCAUAUAUUUAGUAUUUUGCAUGAUGGACAUCUUGUCUACUUACUGCUCUUUAUUUGCUUACUGUGUAUUCUGCUCUAACAAUGUAAAUUUCCCUCGAGUGGGAUAAUAAAAGCCUAUCCUAUCCUAUCCUAUCAGGCAGCCAAUGAAGUGAUGAUAGCACUGGACUAUUAUGAUCAGAUGUUCUAGUUUUAGUGAGGACCCUGGCUGCGGCGUUUUGGACUAGUUGGAGUUUGUUUAAAUUCCUGCUCGUGCAUCCUGACGGUAGCGCGUUACAGUAAUCUAGCCUGGAAGUAAUAAAGGCGUGUACUAGUGUUUCUGCAUCACGCAGGGACAGGGCAUUUCUGAUCUUGGCGAUGUUGUGAAGAUGUAGAAAAGCUGUCCUAGUGAUGCCGUCUGUGUGUUGAUCGAAUGAUAAAUCUGAAUCAGUUAUGAUGCCGAGAUUUUUUGCUGCUGAGCCAGGUGUGGCUUGAAAGUCGGCGAGAUUUAAAAUUAAAUCUGAGGACAAGUAGCACUAACAGGGAUACAUAGACUUGAUCAGAGACAAGAAGAAGAUCAUUAGUUAUCUUAACUAGAGCGUCUCAGUGCUGUGGUGUGGCCUGAAUCCAGAUUGGAAUUUUUCAUACAUAUGGUUCUUGUGUAGAUAUGAACUAAGUUAUUGGGCCACAGCUUUUUCUAAGAUCUUUGAUAUAAACGGUAAGUUAGAAACAGGCCUGUAAUUAGACAAAACGGUGACAUCAAGAUUUGGUUUCUUGAUCAGAGGUUUGAUAACUGCUAGUUUAAAAGCUUUGGGAACAUGGGGCAGUCAUGGGAUGGAGGUUAGGGAACUGGUCCUGUGAUUAGAAGGUUGUUGGUUCGAUCCCCAGCACCAACAGCACAUGAUUGAGGUGUUCUUGAGCAAAACAUCUAACCUCCAACUGCUCCCCGGGCGCCGUAGUUAGGGCUGCCCACCGCUCCGAGCAAGUGUGCUCACUGCCCCCUAGUGUGUAUGUGGUGUUUCACUUCAUGGAUGGGUUAAAUGCAGAGGUGGAAUUUCCCUGUUUGUGGGAUUAAAAAAGUAUCACUUAAAUUAACUUAUGAAAAGGGGGUUUAUAAUGACUGGCAGCACUUUGAGUAAUUUUGAGAGAAUUGCAUCGAGUGUGCAGGUUGUGUAGUUUGCAGAGGAGAUAAUCUUCUCUAGCUCCAGCUGUGGGAGUGGGUAAAAAGUUUCCAGCCUUUCUUCUACAACUGUGGAAUAUGUAAUACUGUUUAUUGGAUUUAAUACUGUG